UACGUAGGGUGCAAGCGUUAAUCGGAAUUACUGGGCGUAAAGCGCACGUAGUCGGCUUUGCAAGUCGGGUGUGAAAUCCCCGGGCUCAACCUGGGAACUGCAUCCGAGACUGCAUUGCUAGAGUAUGGGAGAGGGAAGCGGAAUUUCUGGUGUAGCAGUGAAAUGCGUAGAUAUCAGAAGGAACAUCAGUGGCGAAGGCGGCUUCCUGGACCAAUACUGACGCUGAGGAGCGAAAGCGUGGGGAGCGAACAGG
rnacentral:rRNA from 1 species